rnacentral:sRNA from 1 species
UCUUGCGUUGUAUGAUGGCUACCCGCCACAA